UCAGAGUGGUUGUUCACUAUUGAUCUGAGUUACUGUAGACUUUCUAUCAGCUCCAAUCAGCCUGAUCAUUCUCUACUGACCCUUCCUUAACUCACUCCAUACAAAUCUGCUGAUUUAAAUCAGAGUACAUGCAAAUAAUGUAAUUUAUUGCUACGUAGCUCCCCUGACAGUCUAAAGCUGCAAUUUUAAUAUAAAACUCUACAUAAUGUUACUCGAAACCCAGAGCAGAUAAAGUACAGAAGUGAAACUUAACAUCUACAAACGUCUGUUAAGAAGAUAUUUCCAUAGACAGAAGACACGCUGCACUGAGCGCUCCAUGCUUCAGUGCUCUGGGAGUGUUUAUAGUCCUGUGAGUUUAACACUUCAUGACUGAGAGCUGCUACAGCAACUUCUUCACCCACAGCAGCCAUGACUUUAAUCCCCAUCUUCAUCUGGACCCUGAUCUUCUGCUCUCAAGAGUCCAUAGGUCAGGUGACUGUGACUCAGAGUCCUGCAGUGAAAUCUGCUCUUCCAGGAGACACCGUCACCAUCAGCUGCAGGACCAGUCCUGCUGUUUAUAGCAGUAACUACUUAUUCUGGUAUCAGCAGAAACCUGGAGAAGCUCCUAAACUCCUGAUUAAAUAUGUGACUGGGCUUCAGUCUGGUUUUGCAGCUCGUUUCAGUGGUAGUGGAUCUGGAUCUGACUUCACUCUGACCAUCAGUGGAGUCCAGUCUGAAGAUGCUGCAGAUUAUUACUGUCAGAGUUAUCAUAAUGAUCCUCUGUUCACACAGUGAUAUAACGCCGUACAAAAACCUCCGUCACUCAGUCCGGCUGCACAGAGACUGCACUGCUGCAGUGGGAUCUCCUGCAGGUGCUGAGAUGGAGGAAGUGAAAC